GUGGGGAAUAUUGGACAAUGGGCGAAAGCCUGAUCCAGCCAUGCCGCGUGUGUGAAGAAGGUCUUCGGAUUGUAAAGCACUUUAAGUUGGGAGGAAGGGCAGUAAGUUAAUACCUUGCUGUUUUGACGUUACCAACAGAAUAAGCACCGGCUAACUUCGUGCCAGCAGCCGCGGUAAUACGAAGGGUGCAAGCGUUAAUCGGAAUUACUGGGCGUAAAGCGCGCGUAGGUGGUUCAGCAAGUUGGAGGUGAAAUCCCCGGGCUCAACCUGGGAACUGCCUCCAAAACUACUGAGCUAGAGUACGGUAGAGGGUAGUGGAAUUUCCUGUGUAGCGGUGAAAUGCGUAGAUAUAGGAAGGAACACCAGUGGCGAAGGCGACUACCUGGACUGAUACUGACACUGAGGUGCGAAAGCGUGGGGAGCAAACAGGAUUAGAAACCCGAGUAGUCC
rnacentral:rRNA from 1 species